GAAAAAAGAAAAAGAAAUAAGGAAAGGAAAGGGAAAAGGAAAGGAAAGGAAAGAAAGGAAGGAAAGGAAAGGAAAGGAAAGGAAAGGAAAGGAAAGGAAAGGAAAGGAAAGGAAAGGAAAGGAAAGGAAAGGAAAGGAAAGGAAAAAAGGAUUCAAAUGCAGAGCUAUUCCUGAUGGGAAAAGAGCAACUGACCUAAAUUACUAAUCCCGGUCUUUUCCCAGGGUUCAUAUUUUCGGAUUGUGAAUCUUCUUGGUCCUUGCAUGGUGGCAUCUGCCUGGCAGGGGAAGAAAAGGGGGGAGAAGUGGAAUUAAGGGGAGAGUGAGAGGCGGAGAAGGCAAACAGAAACCUCCCCCUUCCCUCCUCCCUCCACCACCCUCCAAAAAAUUAACCCCCGUUGCAGCAUCCCCCAAGCAGGAAGAUCAAUGGACAAUUUAUUCUUUUCUUUCGUUUUGUUUUCCUUUCCUUUUCUUUCAAGUUUCCUUGGUCAAACCUUCUCUCCUUUCCUUUUUUAAAGAAGGAAGGGUCUCUCCACUCAAGGGUUUGUAUUCUGCCCCACCUUUGGUCUAGCAUCUGAUCUGGCAAUGAAGAACAUGUUUGUCUUUGGAGAUUCUCACUCAUCCAGAUCACAGUUGUCUCAAAAGAAGUUGUGGGUGCUGGCCUUCAGAAGUUGCCUUCAGAAGUUGUGGAUUGGAGGCUUUGAAAAAGAGACUGGACAGCCUGCGGAAGCGUUCUCUGAUAUCUCUAUAUGUUACUGUUUGCAAAUCCAGAAGAACUGUUUAUUGUGACUGACUAUGAUGACUGAGCCUCAGCUGGCCAGUUAGAGCAAGGAUGGAUGGCUGAAGGAAGCAAAUCUUUUGCUCAGGAAAAAAAAAAUAAUAAUAAAAGGCUGCGUCGAAGCUCUCUGCAUGGGCGACCAUUUAAGGGGCUGAUGUGAGAAGAAGCAGCAUGAGGCUGUAAAUAUUCGGGAAGCCUGAGCUCUGGCAACUGAGCACUGUGCUAAAUAAAGCAGAAGAAAUGUUGUCCAAUCUAUGGCACUCGGCGUGAUUCUGAUUAUUUCCAGCCAGCUUCCUCCACUUUCUGCAGAAGGGUUCUGGAAGUGAUCACGAGUUACCUAUCAGAAAGCUGGCAAGGUGCCCUUUGCUAAGGUUUCUGAAUAGAAUGGAAUGGAAUGGAAUAAGACAUUGGAAUAAUGAAAACAUAAAACCAGGCAAGUGUAAGACAUGGAUCAAACAGGAGAAUCGUGUGACAAGUUCCAAACCAUGACCAGAUCUCCACACCCAUUGACCCAAUGAUGUCUUAAAAGUCCUCUGAAAGACAAAAUGGUCCCGGUUGCAGAUUCUUGAAGCAGGAAACUCACGAAAAUGACAGGGUGGGAUGUAUCUCAAGCGAAUGACCCCCAGAAGAAAUUACAAAGCAAGGAAACACCACUGCAAGCGUAUCUGUGUCUUAAUGAAGCCAUGGGGUUUUGGCCCAUCCAAAUGAAGGUUCUGCAUUAAGACAAGCCUUAGCAUUCAGAUUAAAUAUCUGUCAGACUGAACCUCAGAGCCUCGAUGUGAAAAAAAUAACUCUUUAUUUAAAAGAGUUGGGAGGGACCUUGAAGGUCUUCCGGUCCAAACCCCUGCUCAAACAGGAGACCUAUAUUAUUUCAGAUAAAUGGUUGUCCAAUCUCUUCUUGAAAACUUCCAGUGUUGGAGCACCCAUAACAUCUGGAGGCAACUUCUGUUCCAACUGAUUAAUUGUUCUCAGCGUCAACAAAUUUCUCCUUAGUUCUAGGUUGCUUUUCUCUUUGAUUCGUUUCCAUCCGUUGUUUCUUGUCCUGCCUUCAGGUGCUUUGGAGAAUAGGUUGACUUCACCUAAAGGUAAAAGGAAAGGUUCCCCUUGCACAUAUGUGCUAGUCGUUCCUGAUUCUAGGGGGCGGUGCUCAUCUCUGUUUCAAAGACGAAGAGCCAGCGCUGUCCGAAGACGUCUCCGUGGUCAUGUGGCCGGCAUAACUAAACACCAAGGGUGCACAGAAUGCUGUUACCUUCCCACCAAAGGUGGUCCCAGGGAGAGAGAGCUCUGCAGGACUCAAGCCAUAAAAUUCAGAGAAUUGGAUCAGUAUCGGACUGUCUUUGACUACCAUGGACAAACGGGAACCAAGGUGUAUUCAUGCAGUCUAAAUGUGUGUGUGCAUUUAAGUAGUGCUAAGAAAAAGAGACCCAAAGGUGCUUUUUCAAGAGACAGCUGGACCUUCUUUGAAGAAGUUUCUCUUCUCAUCCAAGAAGCUUCUUCAGCAGAGCAGAGAAUAGUCUUCCGAGACAGUCCAGUUGCCUCUUGAAAAACCCACAAUUUGGGACAACCGUGACUUGGAUGACUGUGAAUCUCCAUCAACAUAUUCGGAAAAAGAGACUUAGAUGACCCUAAGUUUCUCAAAGUUUUAUUUCGAAAGGUCCCAUCUGGAGUAAGCUUAGAGUAAUAUACUGCAUUGUUUUCCAUCUCCUGGACAGUUUGAGAAAUAUUAUAUACUUUUUAACCACCAGGUGGGGAUAACUUUGCCACAUCUGUACAACCACCUCUAUAAUCAUUAGAAGAAUGUGAAAACGGAGUUCUAGGAUAGGAAUAACUGCUGCUUAUCUUCAAUCCGUGCAUCACCAGGUAUUGCAAUGUCAAUGAACCAUACUUUUUUCUUAUUAUUCUUAUUAUUAUAUUCUUAUUCUUA